GGGAAAACCGGUUCAAUAUUUCAGGUAGCUUGUUGGAUGAAAAGGGUCUGUUUCCAAGAAGUUACCUAUUUUUGAGUCAUCUACUUGAGCCUCUUCUCCCGCGGGUUGAGAGAAUUUAUCGAAGUGGAUGUGAAUAGUACAAGAGGCAGUAGAAGCAUCGACAGAACUUAGACCUUCUGUUGAAUUUGCAAGUACAGCAAUUACAAAGAAGAGUUAGAAAUGUUAGUCUAGACAAAUAAUUUUCAAGAAAUAAAGCAAAUAGUUAUAAA